UGUAUAUAACAUAGUAGUAUUUUAUUAAUUAUUAUUGUUAUUACGUAUUUAAUAAAGAUUUGUAACUUUUAACAUCUAAAAUGUAUUUUUAUUUUAAACAGAAAUAUUUAGAACUAUAGUAGAAAAAAUUCAACAGUUGCUGUAAUUACAUGGUUCAAGAUCGUAACGUAACAAAAAAUACCUAAAUAGCCAGAGGUGGGUGAUAUUUACACUGAAUGUACGGAAGGAAAGUUAUGUUCGACAAAUUUGAUUGAUACUUAAAAAUCUGUAAUACACGCCUUUACAAUGUAUCUUGAGUUGUUCCACUUGAACCAUAAUAUUCAUCUGAGAUACUUAUUGUGUAUCACCUCCAGCCUGCAUCGCUCUUUCCGAUCCCAUAUCUCUGCUCUAUACAGCAUGAUGCUUUUAAUUGGAGGUCAAAUAACUUAAUCCUUUUGUUGAAGUCGCCUCUGAAUUUUCUUUGUUCAAUUUCUAGACCUGUCCCAUUGAGUGCGACAAAGACAGACUGUACGUGCGUUAAUCAAAAGAGGCAAUAGUGUCCGACAAGGAUGAGCUACACUGGUGGUGAUAGAAAAGGAAGACGAUAAUGUGCAACAAGGAUGUAUAAGGGCAUAAGCGUAUUGAAAUGCUCCUAGACGUAUCGAGACGCACGUAGAUACGUGGCGACGCGUAGAAACGCGCGCAAACAGCUGAAGAUGCGUGGAAACGUGCCUGUACCUCGUGUGUGCCACUAGUAUACUGAAUCGAUUGCGAUGUAUACGAUACGACAAUGAUGUACUUCAAAUUGUAUGGCACAAAAAAUUAUUGCAUGUUAUUCUGUACCUCGUCUGUGAUUCUGUAUGAAGAUAUGUCUAUUAUCAUUGGCUACGGUCAUAUAUGAUUUAUAUGACCGUGAUUGCUAACCAAGGACAGAACGUGUUGAAUAGGUCCAACCUAUACCUAGUUUUUGGCGUUAUAAUAUAAUCGUGAAUCCCAGGAUCGACCAUUGAAACCGGUUUUCAGGUGGACGCUUUCCCCACUGAAUUAACGGUAGUAAGUCGUUGUUGCAUCUUGUUUUUAUUCUUCGUUACAGGAAAUACCUUCUGCCAACUUACCAUAAUUUUUAUGUUCUAAUCUUUUGUAACGAUGAAAUGUGACAAGUUAUUUCUUUGAAUAUUAUUCGUAAGGGCAAUUGACCAUAAAAGCAAAAAUAAAUGAGAUAUAUUAUUAGUAGUCUGCAGAUAUUUACGCAAAUUCAUAUUUUUAUGAAUAUAAUUAAAAAUGGUCAUUUAGAUAAAAGAUUUCAUCAACUAAAUAUGUAUUGCAAAGAGUUCUUAUCUUUGGCUAUUUUAUAUAUUUUUGUAUGUUCAAAUUUCCUAGAAAUGCAUAAAAUUACGCAUUCAAUUAUCGAGUACACAAAAGUAAAUAAAUGAAAUGAAUUGUUUGCAAUUCAUCAUAGAUUCGUGUACCGGACGUAUACAAAUGGUUAUAUAAGAAAUAUAUUAGGUUUCAAACAAACAUUUAAACAUGUUAUCGCUGCGAGAUUUCUCGCGACCCUUUAUUACCAUUUUUCUUACUUUUUCUUUUAUCACAGUCGAUGCUACGAAAUACAUAUACAAUUGCUUCUCACGUGUUCAACAAUAAAUAUAGGAAGGAGAGGAAAAAGAAAACUUAGAUACAAUCAUCGUUACCAGAGAACGAACGACACGACGUUUUCCAUUAUCACGUUCGAAGUAAACUGUCCAUUAACGUAAAAUACACGUUUCAGGAAAAAACCAACAGUAAGAGGAGGAGUAAAACUUUCAGCAUUUCAACUAGCAUAUUGAAAGCUGACACUCGCUACUCCGGUACGAAGAAAGCUCUUUACGAUCUCUGAUCGACGGUCACGCAAAUAUAUUACAAUAAUCAAAACCGGGGUUGAAUAAUAUGUGAAUCGGUAGCUCGUGUAAACUUCUUUUACAUCUCCAUGCAAAUGUUGCAUUCAUUAUUUCCAGUAUGAUUGCAGUCAUUUACAAUGGCUACGAAAAGUAUUUCCACACCAUUGUAUAUAUUAGAGUAUUUAUAUAUGAAUUAAUUAAAUUUAAGUAUACCAACAUCUUUGAAUCAAUUUACAUUAUCAAAUUCUACUUCUCUAACAUUGUGACGAUGGAAAAGAAUUCCUAAGAAUUCGUAUAAUAUUUUUUUCUUUGACUUAAAUUUACAAUUUUACCAAAUUUAAAGAAAUUGACAUAUUUAUAAUACAAUAUAUUGCUAUAAUAUAUUGCAUGAUCCCAUAGAUUAAGUUUCAUACCUUCAUAUGACUACGAAAAUUUGAUAUUACGAAAAUGAAAUGUAGAAUCUGAUAACAAAAGAGCUUCAUUGAAAAAUGAAGAUAUGUGUAAAUAUUUGUUGUAACUACUGCGCUUCCUUUAUGUGUGGUUACCCGAUUUUGAUUAGAUAAAAUGAAAGAAAGAAAUAUGUAUGUAUAUGAACGAGGCGUUGUCGUCACGAC
rnacentral:lncRNA from 1 species